GUUGUUCUGAAGGUGUUCUGAAGCCACGGUAGCAGAGUGUUUAUAGCAGUCGAUAUACCAGUAACGGUUCGUGGUGCCAUCUAGAACGCUCAACUGUGUACACCGAACUAUAGUAUGCUUAAUUUUCUGGAAUUGUUUCAAUUCAAUGUUUUGUUUUGACGAGGGCACUUGAUCCCGGUGUUUUCGUUGUUUAUAAAACGUGGGAAUUAACAAUUGAAAAAUAAUGCCGCAUGCAACGAAACGCACAAGAAUUUCUGAGGAGGUUACCAUUGGAAAUAUUGCCACUUCUAUAGAAUCACUAUCCUCCUCCAUCAAGUCCAUAGCGGAUGUUCAUAGUUCUCUUUUACAAGGGAAUAAAAUGGUCGUUGAGUAUAUACAAGAAACGAAGAAGCUACGGAAUACGAAUCAAACGACUGUAGAACCAGCCAACGUGGAUCGUCUCGAUGAAUCGAAACGAUAAAAUACCGAGAACAGGUAUACAUGUGAAUGUACGUUCACUGCAACAACCAUUGCACCGAUUGACGCGAAUACACUUUGGCUGGACACGUAUAUAAUAGUGUCUAUUAUCAGGAGUAAGAUGGAUGAUUGUCGGUGAAGGUAUACAAAAAGCUGGCUUAGCUAACGUCACUCGGCCAGCGCCUGAAAAUUGCAGGAUUUCGUUCACUCCUCGAUUUUUUCUGCUUGGAGAUUAAUUAAUGUGAAACAGCAGAGCGACGAUUGGCAGGAUACUGAUGACACACGACGAAACAUUAUUUGAUAUGUAAUGAUAAGGAAUGGAAUUCGAUCGAAUAGCUGAACGAAUAUACAGGUGCGCCCGAGCUGAACAUUCUCUUCAGUGCCACCCAGAUCAUUUGAUUCGUCGAAACUGAGAUUAGUCAGUGGACUUGCGAUCACGUACCCCAUGCUGAUCCCGUUGAAUUCUCGAACCGACUGAACUGUCUCCUGCUCAGACAGAACUUUCGAGGAAUUGGAUGAAUUUACAUCUACAAACUUGUGUACGCACACAUACGAAUAUAGCAACAUGUGUGCCUCCAAAAUGUUUGAUACUCCAGCUCGUUCAACAAGUUUCCCAAGAAGAGGAGUUCCGAUGAUUUGUCAAAGAUACUGUCGAUAGUAUGAUGGGAAACGUAGAAGAGAGAGGGAAAAUAUUGGAGGCACGUUUGAUGUAUGGUUUCUGCGUGAACUCUCAAGUUACAUAUUCAUGCAUGAGGUCAAGUUAUGGCCCAAUAGAGUAAAUUCUUGUUUUCCGCGUUCCUUACUAGUUCCCUCUUGUACCUCGCUAAAUGAAUAACCGAUGGUGAAGGCAAUUUUUUUCCUCAUUCCCGUUAGAACAGAUGCGACAUAAAUGAAUCGUCAGUGGUAUAUUUUAUACCAGUGUACAUUGGUAAGGAUAAUAAAAGAUAAAAGUUCACGAAAA